CUUGAGAGCGGCGUACGGGUGCGGAACACGUGUGCAACCUGCCUUUAUCUGGGGGAUAGCCUUUCGAAAGGAAGAUUAAUACCCCAUAAUAUAUUGACUGGCAUCAGUUGAUAUUGAAAACUCCGGUGGAUAGAGAUGGGCACGCGCAAGAUUAGAUAGUUGGUGAGGUAACGGCUCACCAAGUCUGCGAUCUUUAGGGGGCCUGAGAGGGUGAUCCCCCACACUGGUACUGAGACACGGACCAGACUCCUACGGGAGGCAGCAGUGAGGAAUAUUGGACAAUGGGUGAGAGCCUGAUCCAGCCAUCCCGCGUGAAGGACGACGGCCCUAUGGGUUGUAAACUUCUUUUGUAUAGGGAUAAACCUACCCUCGUGAGGGUAGCUGAAGGUACUAUACGAAUAAGCACCGGCUAACUCCGUGCCAGCAGCCGCGGUAAUACGGAGGGUGCAAGCGUUAUCCGGAUUUAUUGGGUUUAAAGGGUCCGUAGGCGGAUCUGUAAGUCAGUGGUGAAAUCUCACAGCUUAACUGUGAAACUGCCAUUGAUACUGCAGGUCUUGAGUGUUGUUGAAGUAGCUGGAAUAAGUAGUGUAGCGGUGAAAUGCAUAGAUAUUACUUAGAACACCAAUUGCGAAGGCAGGUUACUAAGCAACAACUGACGCUGAUGGACGAAAGCGUGGGGAGCGAACAGGAUUAGAUACCCUGGUAGUCCACGCCGUAAACGAUGCUAACUCGUUUUUUGGGGCGCAAGCUUCAGAGACUAAGCGAAAGUGAUAAGUUAGCCACCUGGGGAGUACGUUCGCAAGAAUGAAACUCAAAGGAAUUGACGGGGGCCCGCACAAGCGGUGGAUUAUGUGGUUUAAUUCGAUGAUACGCGAGGAACCUUACCAAGGCUUAAAUGG
rnacentral:rRNA from 1 species